AGCAAUCCUGGUGGCGAGUGGCGAACGGGUGAGUAAUAUAUCGGAACGUGCCCAGUCGUGGGGGAUAACGUAGCGAAAGCUACGCUAAUACCGCAUACGAUCUAUGGAUGAAAGCGGGGGAUCGCAAGACCUCGCGCGAUUGGANCGGCCGAUAUCAGAUUAGGUAGUUGGUGAGGUAAAGGCUCACCAAGCCGACGAUCUGUAGCUGGUCUGAGAGGACGACCAGCCACACUGGGACUGAGACACGGCCCAGACUCCUACGGGAGGCAGCAGUGGGGAAUUUUGGACAAUGGGCGCAAGCCUGAUCCAGCAAUGCCGCGUGCAGGAUGAAGGCCUUCGGGUUGUAAACUGCUUUUGUACGGAACGAAACGGUGAGCUCUAAUACAGUUUGCUAAUGACGGUACCGUAAGAAUAAGCACCGGCUAACUACGUG
rnacentral:rRNA from 1 species